UCUUAAUUAUUGCGAGGGAAUCACCUUCAAAAAUGAGUGACUGCCAUCCUUUGUCAAUACCUACUUUGACUGCGUUCCAACAUGCUAUGGCUUCAGCAGCAAAAGGAGACGAUACAUCAUCGUGAAUUUUUUAGUAGGAUAAAAGGACGUUUCCUUCCGAAUCUCUGACCACAAUACCUGAAGCUAACCGAUUCUGGGUUUCUUUAUAUGCACCGUCAAAGUUGAUCUUGACAAACUCCCUCUGUGGCCCAAAGUGCACAGUAGAAAAACUGACCUUGACGAGGGUUGAGCUACUCUAUCGUCCAGGACAUUCUCGAAAGACAUGAUUCAUUGUUUCAGCUCUUUGACCACAUCUGGGACAACUUGUAUUGGCAGCUAGUUUCCUGUGUUGUAAAUUUACCUUUGUAGGCAGAUAGUUCCAUGACAGUCUCCAUAUAGUAACCUUUACUUUAGAUGGUAGAUUUAGACUCCAGAGUUGUUUAUAAAAUUUCUUAUAGAUGGUUUGUAAAGCAUAAGCUCUAGGAUUUUCAUCCGUUCUCUGUAAUAGUUUAUAAGCACUUUGUACUGUGAAAUCACCCGACGGUUCGCCUCCUCAAAUAAGAAAAUC